UACGUAGGUGACCAGCGUUGUCCGGAUUUACUGGGCGUAAAGGGCGCGUAGGCGGCGUGACAAGUCACUUGUGAAAUCUCCGGGCUUAACUCGGAACGGUCAAGUGAUACUGUCGUGCUAGAGUACAGAAGGGGCAACUGGAAUUCUCGGUGUAGCGGUGAAAUGCGUAGAUAUCGAGAGGAACACCUGCGGCGAAGGCGGGUUGCUGGGCUGACACUGACGCUGAUGCGCGAAAGCUAGGGGAGCGAACGGG
rnacentral:rRNA from 1 species